AUGUUUUACGCUGUAAACGUUAUAUAUCAGGGAGUGUUUGUGGUGAACUUAUCCCACAAACAACCAAACAUACCCAAGCUAAGAUCUAAUGAGAUCAGUAUAUUGACAGACAGAUCUUCUGCAGUGUCCUCGUUUUUUUUUGUCUCCAGUCCACACAUGUUGAAAGUUCAUAAUAAUUUGGGCUGCCCUUGCAUGCAGAGACCCGAAGAGUUUUAUACUCCACAGUUAUCGAGAAUCUACACAUGUUGUCUCAUUCUAUACAGUGAAGAGUCUACCCACUAUGUACAAAUUACAAAUUAG
rnacentral:rRNA from 1 species